CUGGUGGUACUAAGCUAUUAUUGUUGUAGAUUGAGCCAAUUGAGAAAUGGUAUCGCUAUUUACGAUCGUUUUUCUCCGUGAUAUCUUGGAAGAAUUGUCGAGAGAAAAUGAGAAUUACCAUGAGAAUUAUAUUUAAAUUGUAGUUUAUGUUGUCAGUAUCUUUUCUUUACAUUUAUCGUUUGGAUGAUGAAAAUAAAAUCAAUAAAUAAAAACAUGGAAGGAGGCUCCAUGCCAUUCCUCGUUUUCCGGCGGGAUCAUUUGCGGUCUACAUCGGGGAUCAUUUGCGGUUCGGGAUCAUUUGCGGUCCAAUUUGAGGAUUAUUUCCGGUCUGGGGAUCAUUUGCGGUCGGGGAUCAUUUGCGGCGCUGUACAGCUCAGGUAUUCUGGUGUUCCGGAAGUCCUACGAUAUUCCAGAUUUUACAUUCCCUGAGCCCUAUCGUUGUAGCAGAUGCAUGAAAAGUGGAGAAGGCCCUGGGGACGAGGUUGAGGCGGAUGUUUGUUGACUGUUUGUAAGCGUGUUCUUCACAUUGUUCUUCACAACCUUCCCCUCUCUGACACACUCUCGCCGUCAUCUGGAUUGCUUAAUCCCGUUGUGUGGAUGAGAAAUUGCACUGGAAGAAAACAAACGAUUGAAGACAACCUACAGUGAACGAAUUUUUAUCUGACUAAAUUUUGCAGUGAAGGUAACUUUAUUCCAGUUAGGAAGAUAAUGUUUCUUCAACUACUAACAGCACUGUCACUGUUGAAAGUUGCAAUUGCAGGUAAGAUGGUAUUAAUUUAAAUUACUUUCUAUGAAAAUAAUUACAGUGAGGCCCCAGUUAUGGUCUCGGGUACCCAAGACAAUUUUCCCCCUGAGGCAACUUGACUGAGUGUUUAUUAUUAUUAUAUGUGAAAAUUAAUGUACAGUCCCUGUAGGCUGAGUCAAAGUUGACCCUGCGUGAUUAUUCAUAACCCUUAUUGAACAAUCAAAUAUCCAGAUAUCCCUCUUUCUUUGAGUUUCCCUCGGUCGUUCGAUCACAGUAGGUUUUGCCGAGUUAAUUUUCACUUCUUUGAUACAAAUUUCUGCUUUAAAUCCUAAAUCUAGGCAUUAUGUAACACUCAACACGCUUAGAGUUGUCCUGGUCAAGCAAGCCAAAGCAUUUAUAUUACGAAGAAAAGUGGUCACGCUUGCCAGGGUUACCCUACCUGCUGAGGGAAGACAACUUGCCCACCCAAGUUGUCUCACCCCCCAAGACAGGUUCUCAAUUCUAAUGUAAACGACUGGUUGAUAUUGCAAAGAAAAAAGCUAAAAGUUACCUUGGCCUGGAUACAGUAACUAGGGGGGAGGGUUGUCUCGGGUGCCUGAGACCAUAUAAAUGGGGCCUGAGAGGUACGGGUGGGGGGGAAGGGUAGCAUUAGAUAAAUUGACUGGUCGCGAGAACCACCUUGCUUGCCUGGUUUGAACAUCUUCAGAACUUUUAAAUUUCUGAUAAAUAGUUCAGUUCAAAAAGGCUUGCCUGCCUGCCAACUUCAAUAAUAAUAUUGCUCUCCACGUACAUGUACUGGCUACUGUAGUUCAAUCUAUUAAUGACAGUCUGACUAGUAUAAAAUGAGAUGUGUACAGCAUAGAAAGUGGGAGCUGUUUGAACAGCUAGUAUUUGUUUAAUGUAAUUGUAUAUUUAUAGUACUGCAGAAAAUAAAAAGGUUUAAUUUGAACAUGUAAGAAACAAAACACAAUCAGCCAGACAGAUGUAACGGAGGCAGUAUGGCCGAGUGGUUAGGGCACUGGACUUGAAAUCCGGAGGCCGCAGGUUCAAG